UACGCACGCUGGCGGCGUGCUUAACACAUGCAAGUCGAACGGAAAGGCCCCUUUGGGGGUACUCGAGUGGCGAACGGGUGAGUAACACGUGAGUAACCUGCCCUUGACUUCGGGAUAACUUCAGGAAACUGGGGCUAAUACCGGAUAGGAAUCCUUGCUGCAUGGUGGGGGUUGGAAAGCUUCGGCGGUUUUGGAUGGACUCGCGGCUUAUCAGCUUGUUUGUGGGGUAGUGGCUUACCAAGGCUUUGACGGGUAGCCGGCCUGAGAGGGCGACCGGCCACAUUGGGACUGAGAUACGGCCCAGACUCCUACGGGAGGCAGCAGUGGGGAAUAUUGCACAAUGGGCGGAAGCCUGAUGCAGCAACGCCGCGUGCGGGAUGACGGCCUUCGGGUUGUAAACCGCUUUCAGCAGGGGCGAAGCUUGUGGUGACGGUACCUGCAGAAGAAGCACCGGCUAACUACGUG
rnacentral:rRNA from 1 species